GUCAAGUCAUCAUGGCCUUUAUGCCCAGGGCGACACACGUGCUACAAUGGGGCGCACAGAGGGAAGCGAGGGAGCGAUCCGGAGCGGAUCCCAGAAAGCGCCUCUCAGUUCGGAUUGUAGUCUGCAACCCGGCUACAUGAAGCCGGAAUCGCUAGUAAUCGCGGAUCAGCCAAGCCGCGGUGAAUACGUUCCCGGGCCUU
rnacentral:rRNA from 1 species